rfam:Triticum aestivum genome assembly, contig: Triticum_aestivum_CS42_TGACv1_scaffold_404911_5BL
UGAAUACUCCCUCCGUCCCAAAAUUCUUGUCUACGGAUGUAUCAAGUCACAUUAUAGUAUUAGAUGCAUCCGUAUCUAGACAAAUCUAAGACAAGAAUUUUGAAACGGAGGGAGUAAUUC